rnacentral:sRNA from 1 species
CUGAUGGGUUCAAGCAGAUCCGACAGGGAAUGAUCACAUUAAUCUUGGCCACUGACAUGGCAAGACAUGCAGAAAUUAUGGAUUCUUUCAAAGAGAAAAUGGAGAAUUUUGACUACAGCAACGAGGAGCACAUGACCCUGCUGAAGAUGAUUUUGAUAAAAUGCUGUGAUAUCUCUAACGAGGUCCGUCCAAUGGAAGUCGCAGAGCCUUGGGUGGACUGUUUAUUAGAGGAAUAUUUUAUGCAGGUAAGAGUCUUGCAGACCAAUCAAGCCUCCAGCCACUUAUUAGCCCCACUUAGUAAGGGUUUGCGUUAAACAGAGCACGCCAGGGUGGUCCCGCAUAUUCACCGGGCUGCCGACAGUUC